rnacentral:rRNA from 1 species
UACGAGCGGCCCAAACGUUAUUCGGAAUUACUGGGCUUAAAGAGUUCGUAGGCGGCGCGGAAAGUAGGGUGUGAAAGCCCUCGGCUCAACCGAGGAAUUGCGCUCUAAACUACCGUGCUUGAGGAAGCUAGAGGUGAGCGGAACUGAUGGUGGAGCGGUGAAAUGCGUUGAUAUCAUCAGGAACACCGGAGGCGAAGGCGGCUCACUGGGGCUUUUCUGACGCUGAGGAGCGAAAGCCAGGGGAGCGAACGGG